GACGAACGCUGGCGGCGUGCUUAACACAUGCAAGUCGAACGGAAAGGCCCUGCUUUUGUGGGGUGCUCGAGUGGCGAACGGGUGAGUAACACGUGAGUAACCUGCCCUUGACUUUGGGAUAACUUCAGGAAACUGGGGCUAAUACCGGAUAGGAGCUCCUGCUGCAUGGUGGGGGUUGGAAAGUUUCGGCGGUUGGGGAUGGACUCGCGGCUUAUCAGCUUGUUGGUGGGGUAGUGGCUUACCAAGGCUUUGACGGGUAGCCGGCCUGAGAGGGUGACCGGCCACAUUGGGACUGAGAUACGGCCCAGACUCCUACGGGAGGCAGCAGUGGAGAAUAUUGCACAAUGGGCGGAAGCCUGAUGCAGCAGCGCCGCGUGCGGGAUGACGGCCUUCGGGUUGUAAACCGCUUUCGCCUGUGACGAAGAGUGAGUGACGGUAAUGGGUAAAGAAGCACCGGCUAACUACGUG
rnacentral:rRNA from 1 species